AAAAACUUAGUUAAAAUAUAACAUUAGCUUGUCAAGCUUAAAUUAUUAAUUUCUAAUAGUUUUUA
rnacentral:tRNA from 1 species